UGGGGAAUAUUGCACAAUGGGGGAAACCCUGAUGCAGCGACGCCGCGUGAACGAAGUAGGUAUUCGUAUCGUAAAGUUCUGUCCUAUGGGAAGAUAAUGACAGUACCAUAGAAGAAAGCUCCGGCUAAAUACGUGCCAGCAGCCGCGGUAAUACGUAUGGAGCGAGCGUUGUCCGGAAUUAUUGGGCGUAAAGGGUACGCAGGCGGUUUAAUAAGUCGAAUGUUAAAGAUCGGGGCUCAACCCCGCAAAGCAUUGGAAACUGAUAAACUUGAGUAGUGGAGAGGAAAGUGGAAUUCCUAGUGUAGUGGUGAAAUACGUAGAUAUUAGGAGGAAUACCAGUAGCGAAGGCGACUUUCUGGACACAAACUGACGCUGAGGUACGAAAGCGUGGGGAGCAAACAGG
rnacentral:rRNA from 1 species